CCGGCCCAGGUGGAGCGGCGUCGAGCUUCCCCCUUGGUUUGCAUUUCGCUGGAUGAAAAAUGGGGCAGAAUACAGGAUAAGCGGCCUGACAGAAAAGCAAGGCCGGUGUGUGUCCGACUGCCCUCCGGAAGUCUUGCUUCAUGAAUGUUCAUUGUGAGUGCUGGUACUGAUAUAGGAUCUGAGAUCUGCCAAAUUUCCAUUGGCUACUUUUGGCUGGUCUGGAUUGGACACUGGAAAAAAGGACAAGCAAACAGGAAGUUAUCACAGAAAGAAAUAGAUGCAUAUCCCAUGAAUACGUUUUAGACUGAAACUUUCCAGAGCCUAAAAUCAGCAUUGGAAAAGGAAACAGGAGUGAAAUAACUAAAUGAAGUGUGCAGAUAAGGUGGAAAAACAAGAGAAAUAGGUAGAUGUGCACAAAAUGUGAUCUGUUGAUAUGUGCAGAGAAAUGUAAAUUGCAACAUUACUAUACUUUAAAUAGACUAUAAUUCAUCUUAUUAUACUAAAGAAAAAUGUAACAAGUCCUUACUGUUAAAGGGAUUUCAAGUCUCCUGUUCAUCUUUCUUAUAAUUCAUUGUUAAGAGAAUAACUCUCUUAAAGAUGCCUUCAAAUAAAAGAUUUAGCUUAUAGAAGGAUGCAGCUUAAAAUCAGCUUAUCUUUGUAUAAAUUGGACUUGGCCAUCUUUGGUGAGAUUUCCCCAAACUGUUUAAGUUUGAUGGAAGACCCGAGCUCGGGGUAGAAAAAAACCUUAUAGAUGUUCUAGGCUGAAGCUUCAAACUAUUAAAUAUAGCAGCCUUAUCUUGAUGCAUGGCACUGAAAAGAUAUAAAUACUAAAUAACAUGUUUCUCUUGUGAAUUCCGGUUUACUGGUAUCCCCCUCUUUUUUUCUACAUAGCUAAUGGUAUAUAAGAUCUCAUUGAACUUGUAAUGAGAUAUGAUAGUCCUGGUCAUAGUAUCUUAUACUUGUUUUAGUUGAGUUAAAAAUUCUAUUACUGAAUAUAAUAGCAUGCUCCUUACUAAAGAUUCAAUUGGCAGAUAACUAACCAAGUAUGGAAUGAUGGAGGGAUGAAACAACAACAAAUGGUCUGUCUUACACAUUGGAAAAAAGAAUCUGAACACUAAUACAAGCUUGAUGGACACUACCUUAUAGAUGACCCUCACCCCGUUAAAGACCUUGGAGUUUUCAUAUCAAAUGAUCUAAGUGCCAAAGCCCACUGCAACUACAUCGCAAAAAAGGCUUUAAGAGUUGUAAACUUAAUCUUGCGUAGCUUCUUCUCCAGAAACACUACACUACUAACCAGAGCAUAUAAAACAUUUGCUAGACCAAUUCUUGAAUACAGCUCGCCUGUCUGGAACCCAUACCUCAUUUCAGACAUUAAUACAAUUGAGCGUGUCCAGAAAUAUUUUACAAGAAGAGUUCUCCACUCCUCUGUUUACAACAAAAUACCUUACGCCAUCAGACUUAAAAUCCUGGGUUUAGAAAAUUUGGAACUCUGCCACCUUCGACAGGAGGAUGAUUCAUAGAAUCAUCUGUUAAAACGUCCUUCCUGUUGAAGACUACUUCAGCUUCAAUCACAACAAUACAUGAUCACACAAUAGAUUUAAGCUUAAUGUGAACCGCUCCAAUCUUGAUUGCAGAAAAUAUGACUUCAGAAACAGAGUUGUUAAUGCCUGGAAUGCACUUCCAGAUUCUGUGGUCUCUUCCCCAAAUCCCCAAAGCUUUAACCAAAAACUGUCUACUAUUGACCUUUAUCCCCAUUCUUAAGAGGUCUGUAAGGGGCGUGCAUAAGAGCACCAGCGUGCCUACUGUUCCUGUCCUAAUGUUCCCUUUGAUUGUAUACAAUUUCAUAUAAUUAUUACAUACGAUGGUUAUAUAUAUAUACUUAUA